ensembl:lncRNA
AAUUAAUAUUGUCUAGAUUAAACAUAAAUGCUUACUAAUGAAAAUGCAAAUCCAACACAAUACGAAAUGAUUUUACUUUGACAGGGGAUCAGCAUACUUCCUGUUCCACUGUAAUUUCUUCUCCACAAUACAGAAUUGGAGAGGAGGUAUUUACAGUAAAUUUCUUGAUAGGAUUCUGCAGGCUGUGAACUAUAACUGCCUUUGUUUAUUUUUUAUGUACUUUCAUUGAAUUAAAUGACAUCUUGACUUUUCGAGCAGCAGCAAAAUGCCUGCUGAUCCAUUGCAGGAUUGCUGAGCCGUUUCUUAAGUACUCAAACGUAGGAGUCUAUAUAAAGCAGUAACAAACUGUCAUUGUAAUUUCAAUGAAAAGACAGGAAGAAACAUGGACAAAAAUAUCUUGUUUAUUGUUAUUUGUUGAAUUUGUUAUUUGUUGAUUGUUAUGUUGUAAAGUCAUAGUGAAGGAGUUGCCCAAACAAAUGCCUGUAUAAGUUGUCUUCAUCCUAAUGAAAAUACGUUUCAAGAGCUUUUGCUCAUGAGUUGAUUGUAGUACAUGAGGAAUAAAUCUAUUUCUUGAUAUAAUAGCACUCUGCCUUAUAGCUUGAACAACGAUCCUUCCCGUUAUAUCUGAUUAUUUUCUUAUUAUCUCCUAAUUCAACUCAACAAUAUCUUUCAGUGACAGAGUUCUACUGAGGGCUAUUAUUUUAAAGCCAUCUCUCAGACAUUGUAUUUCCUACAAGGUACAUGGAUGAGCCAGUGUCUGCAGCAUGAGUACAUAUUACAUAUAUGUACAGGAAAAUUACCCCAGCCUAUUUUUUCUUUUCCUCUUUUUAAACAAUUAAAUGAAUUUGCAUCCAAAUAACGUCAAAGCUUCAAAAGUGCAUGCACAGAAGACAGAGGAGUUGAAGUUAGAGUUGUAUAUAAGAGGAAAAUGCAAGAGAGAACUUACAAGAACAGAAAUUGUGUAGAGAUUUGGUUUGUACACUCUAACAUUACAGUGUUUGAUGUGGAGAUAAAUGUAUUCUGCAUAGGAUAUGAGCAGGGGUGAGAAAAAAGAGGCAAAAUGUGACUGUGAAUAUCUGUAAUAACAGUUUAUUGGCUAGGUCAACUCAAAACAAAUGUGUCAAAGCCUGCCCAGCACUACAGACUUCUACUGGACUGUCUCUGUUUGGAGACAGAUUUGUGAUUCCAAACACCUUAGUUUUUGUUUUGUUCUUUGCAUUAUCUUGCACUGUUAUCUGUAAUCACUCCAUACUUUUGUUUCUGUAUUUAUUAAAGCAGAAAUAAGUGAUUUAUUUAUGUUUUAUUG